GGGCCAUGUCAAAGAUGAAAUAUGGGGCAGUGUCAGCAUCUUCCUUUGUCUUCCAAGGCCCAGAGAGGAGGCGUGGCUCUGCUGCCAGAGUCAGCGGACAUCUGGACCUGGAGCUGUGGUCCUGGAUUGAACAACAGCUGAGGAAUAUAGAUGCAUUGAACUUUGUGUGAGCACCUGCAGUGGACCAAAG